rnacentral:lncRNA from 1 species
UUAAGUUCGACUUCCGAUACCAAUACCGAUACUAACAACAUGUCAUGCGCAUGCUAUCUGCUUGCAAGAAACACGAGGACAAGUGUAUUGUAAGUCACCACUACCGAACUCGGCUUUGUAUUGGAAGUCGGGGGAAUUGUAAGAUAAACUCAUAUAAAUCGGAUAUUUCAUAAUUUUUACGAUAAACAUGUAAACUAUUUGUUUAUUAGCAUCGCCUGAGUCAUGUUUCAGUCGGAAUUUUAGCUCAGCUGCCGUUUAGUAUACCGCACAUUUUCGGUGACGAUUAAUGUGUUCUAUACCGUAUUU